rnacentral:rRNA from 1 species
UCAAGCGAACAAGUGCAUGUGGUGGAUGCCUUGGCGAUCACAGGCGAUGAAGGACGCGGUAGCCUGCGAAAAGCUACGGGGAGCUGGCAAACGAGCUUUGAUCCGUAGAUGUCCGAAUGGGGAAACCCGGCCCUUUUGGGUCAUCCUAGACUGAAUACAUAGGUCUAGUGAAGCGAACGCGGUGAACUGAAACAUCUAAGUAACCGCAGGAAAAGAAAUCAACCGAGAUUCCCAAAGUAGUGGCGAGCGAAAUGGGAUGAGCCUUGUACUCUUUAUUUGUAUUGUUAGCCGAACGCUCUGGAAAGUGCGGCCAUAGCAGGUGAUAGCCCUGUAGGCGAAAACAGUAUGAAAGAACUAGGUGUACGACAAGUAGGGCGGGACACGUGAAAUCCUGUCUGAAGAUGGGGGGACCAUCCUCCAAGGCUAAAUACUCGUGAUCGACCGAUAGUGAACCAGUACCGUGAGGGAAAGGCGAAAAGAACCCCGGGAGGGGAGUGAAAUAGAUCCUGAAACCGCAUGCAUACAAACAGUCGGAGCCUCGUAAGGGGUGACGGCGUACCUUUUGUAUAAUGGGUCAGCGACUUACGUUCAGUAGCAAGCUUAACCAUAUAGGGCAGGCGUAGCGAAAGCGAGUCCGAAUAGGGCGUUCAGUUGCUGGGCGUAGACCCGAAACCAGGUGAUCUAUCCAUGGCCAGGAUGAAGGUGCGGUAACACGUACUGGAGGUCCGAACCCACUAACGUUGAAAAGUUAGGGGAUGAGCUGUGGAUAGGGGUGAAAGGCUAAACAAACCUGGAAAUAGCUGGUUCUCUCCGAAAACUAUUUAGGUAGUGCCUCGUGUCUCACCUUCGGGGGUAGAGCACUGUCAUGGUUGGGGGGUCUAUUGCAGAUUACCCCGCCAUAGCAAACUCCGAAUACCGAAGAGUGCAAUCACGGGAGACAGACAUCGGGUGCUAACGUCCGGUGUCAAGAGGGAAACAACCCAGACCGCCAGCUAAGGUCCCCAAAUAUAGCUAAGUGGGAAACGAAGUGGGAAGGCUAAAACAGUCAGGAGGUUGGCUUAGAAGCAGCCACCCUUUAAAGAAAGCGUAAUAGCUCACUGAUCGAGUCGUCCUGCGCGGAAGAUGUAACGGGGCUAAGCUAUAUACCGAAGCUGCGGAUGCGUGCUUGCACGCAUGGUAGGAGAGCGUUCCGUAAGCCUGCGAAGGUGCCUUGUAAAGGGUGCUGGAGGUAUCGGAAGUGCGAAUGCUGACAUGAGUAGCGAUAAAGGGGGUGAAAGGCCCCCUCGCCGUAAGCCCAAGGUUUCCUACGCAACGUUCAUCGGCGUAGGGUGAGUCGGCCCCUAAGGCGAGGCAGAAAUGCGUAGCUGAUGGGAAGCAGGUCAAUAUUCCUGCACCAUUGUUAAAUGCGAUGGGGGGACGGAUCGCGGAAGGUUGUCCGGGUGUUGGAAGUCCCGGUCGCUGCAUUGGAGAAGGCGCUUAGGCAAAUCCGGGCGCAGGAUUCAAGGGUGUGGCGCGAGCUCCUUAGGGAGCGAAGCAAUUGGAAGUGGUUCCAAGAAAAGCCUCUAAGCUUCAGUUUAACAGUGACCGUACCGCAAACCGACACAGGUGGGCGAGAUGAGUAUUCUAAGGCGCUUGAGAGAACUCGGGAGAAGGAACUCGGCAAAUUGGUACCGUAACUUCGGGAUAAGGUACGCCCUUGUAGCUUGACUGGCCUGCGCCAGGAGGGUGAAGGGGUUGCAAUAAACUGGUGGCUGCGACUGUUUAAUAAAAACACAGCACUCUGCAAACACGAAAGUGGACGUAUAGGGUGUGACGCCUGCCCGGUGCCGGAAGAUUAAAUGAUGGGGUGCAAGCUCUUGAUUGAAGUCCCGGUAAACGGCGGCCGUAACUAUAACGGUCCUAAGGUAGCGAAAUUCCUUGUCGGGUAAGUUCCGACCUGCACGAAUGGCGUAACGAUGGCCACACUGUCUCCUCCCGAGACUCAGCGAAGUUGAAGUGUUUGUGAUGAUGCAAUCUACCCGCGGCUAGACGGAAAGACCCCAUGAACCUUUACUGUAGCUUUGCAUUGGACUUUGAACCGAUCUGUGUAGGAUAGGUGGGAGGCUAUGAAACCGGAACGCUAGUUUCGGUGGAGCCGUCCUUGAAAUACCACCCUGGUUUGUUUGAGGUUCUAACCUUGGCCCGUGAUCCGGGUCGGGGACAGUGCAUGGUAGGCAGUUUGACUGGGGCGGUCUCCUCCCAAAGCGUAACGGAGGAGUACGAAGGUACGCUAGGUACGGUCGGAAAUCGUGCUGAUAGUGCAAUGGCAUAAGCGUGCUUAACUGCGAGACCGACAAGUCGAGCAGGUGCGAAAGCAGGUCAUAGUGAUCCGGUGGUUCUGUAUGGAAGGGCCAUCGCUCAACGGAUAAAAGGUACUCUGGGGAUAACAGGCUGAUACCGCCCAAGAGUUCAUAUCGACGGCGGUGUUUGGCACCUCGAUGUCGGCUCAUCUCAUCCUGGGGCUGUAGCCGGUCCCAAGGGUAUGGCUGUUCGCCAUUUAAAGAGGUACGUGAGCUGGGUUUAAAACGUCGUGAGACAGUUUGGUCCCUAUCUGCCGUGGGCGUUGGAUAUUUGAAGGGGGCUGCUCCUAGUACGAGAGGACCGGAGUGGACGAACCUCUGGUGUACCGGUUGUGACGCCAGUCGCAUCGCCGGGUAGCUAUGUUCGGAAGAGAUAACCGCUGAAAGCAUCUAAGCGGGAAACUCGCCUUAAGAUGAGAUAUCCCUGGAGGCUUGACCUCCUUGAAGGGUCGUUCGAGACCAGGACGUUGAUAGGUCAGGUGUGUAAGCGCAGUAAUGCGUUCAGCUAACUGAUACUAAUUGCCCGUAAGGCUUGAUCC